UUUCUUUUUUCUUCUCUAUUUGUUCUUUCUUCCUUAUUCUUCUUCUUUCCUCUUUAUUUUCUCCUUUCCUCUUUUAUCUGGAACAGAGAAAGGAGAACGAGAGAGACAGAAAUGAGGGAGAGAUCGAGAGAGAGAGAGUCGGAUUGAACGAGAGAGAGAGAGAUGGGGACUGAAGGAGAGAUCCGACAAAGAGAGAGAGAGAGAUGCCGAGAGAGAGAGAUUGACUGGAGAGAGAGAGGAUCCGAUAGACGAUGGGUCAGAGUCGGAGGAGCAAGAGGUGUCGUCUGGUUCUGGGUCGUCAACCGGUGACCGGAGCGCGUGAUUUUCGGCGUUUGGAGGUCGUUCUUCGGUGGGUCUUCGGUAAGAAAGUAUCCGGUGAGGUAGGGAGAGUUUUCCGGCGGUUUUUGGGUGAUUUUUCCGGUGGAUUUAUGUGGAAAUCCUUGUGAUGACCCUGUAUGACGAAGUCAUUUCUUUGUAAUGGCGUAGACCUCGCUAAGAGCAAUAGAUCGUUGUGAACCGACCAAACCUUUAUAUUGUAUAGUAUGUCUCUUUUUGAAAUUCAUGACAUUGUAAAGAAUUAUUAAUAGGCAUGAAUAAUAAAACAGGAAGUUACAAUCUAUAUGUUGUAAAUGUAUGCUUUCAUUUGUAUGUUUUUAGCACUCAAGUUCGAGUUUCCCUUAUAUCCCAAAAUGGGGGCGUGACAAAAGGAGACCAAGAAGACUUGUUCAGAUAAAGUAGAAGAAGAUUGUGAAAAUGAAGUUGAGUAAAAGACAAAAGCAUUAAAGAAAAGAAGUGGAGUGGAAGACAAAUGAAGUCUAUACGAGAAAGGAGAACAAAAGGCCCAAAUUGAAUUGAAGUAUGCAUUUUAGAGUCCUAGUCUCCUAGAUGCGUGAAGAAACAGGUGUGAAUUGUGCAAAUAAAAAGAUGAGGAUAAUGGUUGCUCCACACAUGCACGAGAAUCACGUCUCUUUAGCUGCUGGACACACAAAAGUUGAAGAGAACUUCUCUAUAAAUAGGAGACAUUGUGGAGAAGGUUGAAGAUCUGAAAAUUGAAGGAAAAGAGAAGAAGACGUUCAGCUCCAGAUCGAAGAAGUCAUCGGCGACGGUUCAAGAUUUGUUGUUUAUGUUUAGAAUUUUAAUGAUGAAAUUUAUUUACGUAAUUAUGUCUAGCUAAAUCUCUACCUGAGGUUAGGGGUGAAACUUUUAAUAAGAUUAUAGUAUUUAUUUUCUAACUCUUUUAUGGUUUUUAAUGUAUGAUCUUUUUAAUUGAUUGCA